rnacentral:rRNA from 1 species
AUGGUCGCAAGACUGAACCAGCCAUGCCGCGUGCAGGAUGAAGCAUCUAUGGUGUGUAAACUGCUUUUGUACGGGAAGAAACACUCCUACGAGUAGGGGCUUGACGGUACCGUAAGAAUAAGGAUCGGCUAACUCCGUGCCAGCAGCCGCGGUAAUACGGAGGAUCCAAGCGUUAUCCGGAAUCAUUGGGUUUAAAGGGUCCGUAGGCGGCUUUAUAAGUCAGUGGUGAAAUCCGGCAGCUUAACUGUCGAAUUGCCAUUGAUACUGUAGGGCUUGAAUUGUUGUGAAGUAACUAGAAUAUGUAGUGUAGCGGUGAAAUGCUUAGAUAUUACAUGGAAUACCAAUUGCGAAGGCAGGUUACUAACAAUAUAUUGACGCUGAUGGACGAAAGCGUGGGUAGCGAACAGGAUUAGAUACCCUGGUAGUCCACGCUGUAAACGAUGGAUACUAGCUGUUUGGUUGUAAGACUGAGUGGCUAAGCGAAAGUGAUAAGUAUCCCACCUGGGGAGUACGAACGCAAGUUUGAAACUCAAAGGAAUUGACGGGGGCCCGCACAAGCGGUGGAGCAUGUGGUUUAAUUCGAUGAUACGCGAGGAACCUUACCAGGGCUUAAAUGUAGUAUGACAGGUUUGGAAACAGACUUUUCUUCGGACAUAUUACAAGGUGCUGCAUGGUUGUCGUCAGCUCGUGCCGUGAGGUGUCAGGUUAAGUCCUAUAACGAGCGCAACCCCUGUUGUUAGUUGCCAGCGAGUCAUGUCGGGAACUCUAACAAGACUGCCGGUGUAAACCGUGAGGAAGGUGGGGAUGACGUCAAAUCAUCACGGCCCUUACGUCCUGGGCUACACACGUGCUACAAUGGCAGGUACAGAGAGCAGCCACUUCGCAAGGAGGAGCGAAUCUAUAAAGCCUGUCUCAGUUCGGAUUGGAGUCUGCAACCCGACUCCAUGAAGCUGGAAUCGCUAGUAAUCGGAUAUCAGCCAUGAUCCGGUGAAUACGUUCCCGGGCCUUGUACACACCGCCCGUCAAGCCAUGGAAGCUGGGGGUACCUGAAGUCGGUGACCGCAAGGAGCUGCCUAGGGUAAAACUGGUAACUGGGGCUAAGUCGUAACAAGGUA